rnacentral:rRNA from 1 species
GGGGGGGGGGGGGGGGGGGGGGGGGGGGGGGGGGGGGGGGGGGGGGGGGGGGGGGGGGGGGGGGUGCGGGUGGCGAGUGGGGGGCGGGGGGGGAGUGCAGCGGGAUCGGCUUGUUGGUCGUGGGUACCGGGGGGGCACUGCGGCUACUAGCGCAGGCGCCCUGCGGGUGGAAGCCGUGGAUUUGCGGACGUUGCGCGAAGUGAUGAGCCGUUGUCUGUUUAGCUAUGUGGCGGGUUCAAGGCCCACCAAGGCGCCGAUCCGUAGCUGAUCUGAGAGGCUGAUCAGCCACAUUGGAACUGAGACACGGUCCAGACUCCUACGGGAGGCAGCAGCUGGGAAUAUUCGGCAAUGGGCGCAAGCCUGAUCCAGCCAUACCGCGUGGGUGAAGAAGGCCUUCGGGUUGUAAAGCCCUUUGGUUGGGAAAGAAAAGCAGCAGGUGAAUACCCCGCUGUUCUGCCGGUACCCAAAGAAUAAGCACCGGCUAACUUCGUG